UACGGAGGGUGCAAGCGUUGUCCGGAUUUAUUGGGUUUAAAGGGUGCGUAGGCGGCCCUGUAAGUCAGUGGUGAAAUACUGCAGCUUAACUGUAGCAUUGCCAUUGAUACUGUGGGGCUUGAGUACAGAUGAGGUAGGCGGAAUUGAUGGUGUAGCGGUGAAAUGCAUAGAUACCAUCAAGAACACCGAUUGCGAAGGCAGCUUACUAAGCUGUAACUGACGCUGAGGCACGAAAAGUGUGGGGAUCGAACAGG
rnacentral:rRNA from 1 species